rnacentral:rRNA from 1 species
UACGUAGGGCGCAAGCGUUGUCCGGAAUUAUUGGGCGUAAAGAGCUCGUAGGCGGUUUGUCGCGUCUGCUGUGAAAUCCCGAGGCUCAACCUCGGGCUUGCAGUGGGUACGGGCAGACUAGAGUGCGGUAGGGGAGACUGGAAUUCCUGGUGUAGCGGUGGAAUGCGCAGAUAUCAGGAGGAACACCGAUGGCGAAGGCAGGUCUCUGGGACGUGACUGACGCU